CCAGAGUAUCAAUUGGAGGGCAAGUCUGGUGCCAGCAGCCGCGGUAAUUCCAGCUCCAAUAGCGUAUAUUAAACUUGUUGCAGUUAAAAAGCUCGUAGUUGAAUUUCUGCUGUUUCGUUGACUGCGCUUGGCGUUUGUCAUCGUUGCGGCUUGGUUGGGUUUCGAUUAUUCGUUUCCCGGCGUUUACUUUGAGAAAAUUAGAGUGCU
rnacentral:rRNA from 1 species